CUCCUCUUCUACUUGCCUGAUGCUGCACUGAAUGUACUCCAAGCCAUUCGGAAAUGAACACAGCGGUCUCACACUGAGCUCCAGGAGGGGUAGGGGGCAGUUAGUAAACAGAAAGGGAAUCACCAAGAAGGGAGGAAAAAACCCCAUGGCUGAUAUUGCAAGGAGCUGGGGAGCACAGCCAGCAAGCGGAGGAACUUCAUAGAAAGCAAAUAAGGGCAAAGGGAAUGGAGCCCAGAAGAGGUGAGGCAGAGGCACCCACUGCCCAAACUGCCUGGCAUCUUACAUUGUAAAUGUAAGUAGCCUCAGGAAGCAGAGUUGAUAAGCUAGAGCCUGGAAAACUUGCUCACAGUGAGGCCUGUCCCUGAUCCACCUCUUCUGGAAAAAAAAAGUAAAAUACAAUUUAAUAGUUCAGUGGGAUUUUCUUGAACAUGUAGUUAGUUGCUCAUCACUAUUUAUAGCACUAUCGUUUGAAUAGCCCUAAAGAUGCAGUCAUCAGACUUUUUUUCAUUACUGCUUUGAAGAACAAACCCAUACUUGUUUUAACAAGUCACAUCACAGGAGAUGUUAUUCUACACUCUCCACCCACACAACCCUGGGAUUUAUUUUCAUUUGAGAGCUUGUUGAAUGUAGCAGCACUCAGCUGAAAAAAACAAUGUUCCAAGACAGAAAGGAUUCAGAGCUAUAAAUCAUGAACGUUGGUAGUGGGAAAGGACCAUCGUUGCUUUGACAUGGAACGGUCAGUAGCAUUCUCCAUCGCUACAAGAGGUUGGCUUUAGUUUUUAGUUCUGUGACACUGAGUGACUAAUUGCAUUACAUCUAUUUAGGGGUCAUGUGUUCUCUGUCCACCCUUCCUGGACAGAUGGGCCUAAGGAGAGGGUAGAAAAAUAAAAAGCAUUUGACAAUGGCUGAAGUGACCAACUUGCAGUAGAAUUCAAUCCUAUGGUAGGACACGAGGGACCAGAUUUCACCCCAUCUCGUGCACGUGGGUGUCUGUGUUGCUGUAGCAGCAGUUAACCCAUGCCAGCUUGUGGUCACUCACCCUCACAGAUGGCUCCACACCAUUCUGGGGUCUGCCAGCUGCAGCAAAGAAGAGGGCACGCUUCUCUCUCCCCAGCCUCGCAGCAGCAGACAGCUCAGCCAUUUCCCUUAGCACCCGAUGCAUUUUCUUAAGCCAGCUGCUCACAGCCUGAGAUGAAGCUAAUCCUAGCAGUGAUGCUGACAUUCGGAGGUAUCGAAUUCAUCACAAGAUUUAAAUCGCAAGUUUUAGUAUGAAACUUCUGGGAUAUCUAAAAUAUGAGUAUUGUGAAGAGUUGUUAUUCCAAGUCAGAGGUAUUUAGAAAUAUUUAUGCCAGUGAGAGAGACAGCUUAAUAUUUAGGAAUUAGCCACUCACAUUAUGGGUCAGUCUCACGGCCCGUGAAUAACAACUUCCUUUCUCUCCCUCCUUGUAUGGUUUUGCCCUACUUAACUCUAGAACAGAAUUUAUAUCCCUGCAACAAGAAAGUUCUGGAUUUUUACUUUGCUUAUUUUUUUCCUUUGUAAAAUAUUUUAGGAGCACCAGCAUCAGCUGGGCAGGGAUUUUGAAGCUAUUUCCUAAGACAGAACUGCUUGCUCCAAGUGUGCAAUUUUUCCCCUAAAUAUAGCUUUUCCAAGUGCAUAAAGACGCAACUAAAAUAAAAUUCUUUCUCCUUUCAUUCCCUCGCUGUGGCUACAGUGUAUUUUGUGAUCUCAAGUAGCAGGGAAGCUCAGCUGUCCAGAAGAGGAACUUCAAAAAUGUUUUUAGCAGCAGUGAUCUAGUAUGUGUUGUUCAGGAAACAUCUCCUGUAUGGCUCCCCACUCUACAGUCAGUGCUGCUACUUCUGAUUUAGGAUUAAUGAACAUUUCCUCUAAGGUAAAGAAAAUGUGCUCCUGCAAUUUAACAGUUCAGAAGCUGCGGCUCUUCCAUUCAUGCAAGCCCUGCUGGCAACAGGAGCACCAGGUCCCUGUGCCCGCACCGCUGCCUGCCUGUUUUCAACUGAGCAGGCCGCAUGGUAUGUUUAGUAUGCAGGAACAAUAAGAUGUCUCAGAAGAAGUCAAUGCAGUCACACUUUAAUGUGUUUUUACAUCCUUUUACGAUUCACAAAGCCAGAAUAUAAGUACUUAUACAUUUUUAAUAGGAAAGUAAUAUAUUCCCCUAAAAGAAAAAUAGAUUUGAUUAAUCAUUUGUCAUAAAAGUUGCCUGACAGUUGAAACUUCAAGCUUCUAAGCUAGAAAAGCUCAAAUAGACAGAUUAUACUGAAAUGUUCUUUAAAGACCAAGCAGCUGUUUUAUUAAAAUAUUAAAUUUACAUUUUAAAAAGAAAUAUUCUGAUUUAUUAUUCAAUUAUGAUAAUCUUGAAGUGACAUGAAAUUCAUGACAAUGGGCUUUAUUCUGUCCAAAUUCUGUCCUCAGUUAUCCACGGGCAAUCAGUUUUGCCAGUAUUUAGAACUGUGCAAGAUCACACACACAGAGAAGCACCAUUCUGGAAAGACAAAUCCGAGACACUGGGUUUCAACUUGAUUCUUAUUUUUCCCAGAAAAAGUGGGUUUUCAGGUCUGGGACUAGGGCUGCAUCCAGCGCCUGCUGCAAUGAGGCCCUCAGUUCAGACCCAAAGAACCCAUCCAAAUCUCACCGUCACAAGAAAAAGAAAAAGGAUUUCAGAAUACACCAACUGCGUCCCGCAGCACAAGGGAAUGACCUUCGAACAACUUGAGUUACCAACUGCAUUUGAAUCAGCAGGGCUCUUGCCAGCUGUCGCACACUUGCUUACAGUAUGAACAGGAUUGUGGAUCAAGGAAACAUUUUCAAAGUUGAGGCCCAAAUGGAAAUAGUAAGAUAUCAUACACAGUGUAAGUUUAUAGUACACAGCAUUUUUUUUUUUAAAUGACGUAACGCAACAGCAGGAAGGAGUAGUAGUAGUAGUUAACAGUUACUAACACUAGAAUAAUCAAAUUUGUAUGUUAUACAUAUACAGCAACUAACUGCUUUACAAAAAAAGCAAAAUAAUACAAUAUAUUGUCACAUGUAUUUACAGUGUAGUAAAUAUACUUUUCUGUCAAAUUUUACACAAAAACUAUUUACAGGUGAAUAUACUGCAUUAAAAAAAAAUUGUGGGACCAACACUAAAAGUGACUUUCUGUGGUAAGUUUGUUGCAUAACAAUAAGACGUGCUUCAUUACAUUUGAAAAAAAUUAACCUUAGAAUGAAACCGAAAAAGCCCUAAAACCUACAACCCAGUUAGGAAUAGAGCACUGGAACGCUCCCAGGUGCUCAGUCCACAAUACUUAUUUGAAACGUUUCCUGUUCUUGGAAACCUCAUGCACAUUAAAGCAGAAACAUUGGCAUAAUUAACAGGUAGGUUAUGCACUAUUCAAAUACUACUGAGUUAUCUUUAAGUCAGGGAAAAUACAAACACAAACAAAAUGUUAAUCAUCUUUACAGUACUUAACUGUAGUUAGUGCGAAAUGGGUAAUGUGUUCUAAAACAGGGGUGUCAAACAUACAAUCCCCAUGAUGUCAUUACAUGGUCCACGUGUUAAGAUCAGAUUUUUCUGAAUCUAAGUUUUCAUUUCAAAGUACACAGACUCCACAGCUGCAGAACCAGCCUUCAAGAAGCGACUCGAGCAGCCGACGCAGCAGUGACUGCCCAGUGGUCUGCAGGCUGCCUGAAACAGCGACUUGAAGGUGGGAACUCUCUUAGAGCGGUCUCCCACUUGUUAGAUCAGGUUUCAAGCCCACAUUGUCACCAGCAACCACCUGCUGAUCACUAGGAGCGUAAAUGGAGUAAUGGGAUGAGGAGAGAACGGAAGCAGGCUGGACUGGGAACCGAGAGCGGUGCUCACGGGAACGAAACGGAGCAGGAUGGAGAAUAUUCAAAACAGGGAACGAGAACAAAUAAGGGAGGGUGCAAGAAAGAACACAACAAGGCAAAACAACAGCCACUGCUGUUAGAGGGUGCAGGCAAAGUGAUGAAUGUGACAGUAAGGCACUGAACAACUAACUAAUUACUAAUAGAAGUUUAAUCCUUCAAGAAAGGCCGUGUUUUCCCCCUUGAUCUAAGCGCAAGCUUCCCAACUGCUGGUACUGGGAGAGAACGUUCCUGUGUAUCGGGGCACCUGUGAUCCUGAAUUAAACCUUGGCCAUCGACCGUAAUUACACCCAAAUUCAGCCCCCAUUACCUAACAUGUUUGACACCCCUGCUCUAAGAAAGUUCAGGUCCUCUCACUGAACCAUGCAGUGAAAACAUUAAAUGACUCCCCCUCCUUCCAGGAAACAGAAUAAAUUAAAUUUUGUUGACUGACUUUAUGAAGAUAUCAGUUUUCUUCAGCUGGGACUGAGAGCCCAGAGUAAUUCUAGUUCUCACAUGAAAGGUAAUUUUAGUCACUGUCCAUUUUGAUUCCACAUCAUAUGUAUUUCAAAGACUGCAUUAAUUCUAAUUUAGGGAUGCUUUUUUUCUAUAGGCAAUGCAAAAUGUUGACAGAGUUGCUCUCAAACGCACCCAGUCCAAACAAAACGGAUUUGGUAGUUCAUCUGGAAUUACUAUUUCUGUUUAAAGAAAAUCUGCUCAUAGGAGAAACAACUGACAGCAAAUUACCUUUACAAGAGAUUCUUUUUCCCUCCUACCCACAAAUCUUCAGGCUUCUACAAUUCAUUGUCUUCAGCAAAACGGAAAGGGCUGGAAUUAGCUUGAUUCAGUACAACCAAGUGCAAACUGGCAGUGACGCUGAAGGUGGCUCUCGGCAAUCUGAUGCAUGAGAUGAGAACGGGUUUUAAUCAGUGACUCCCGAAGUUUUACAUGCAUAGCAGCUUAGGAUGUGGCACGAGUCACUGCUCCAUUCCCACAUUCAGUUCUAGCCUCACGAUCCCUUUCAUAGUCCUGUAUCAGUUCAGCAACCACAUUUCUACUGCAGCUCCUACGCCACCAAGAAUAAAAAAAUUUGGUUAAUUGCACGAGUCUUCGUAUUUUCCAACGCGUCUAUUUCAAGACUGCUAAUUCUAAGUUUUCCUCUUGUUUUAGCAAACUAUUUGCAUAUUAAGUUUGUGUUCAUAGUUUUUCCAGGACUGUAAACAAAUUAAAAAAAUUAAAUUGUUAUUUUAUGAAUCAAUACAAUAAAGGUAUUUUUAUUUACAUAAAUGUUACAUUGUUACUGUGUGGAUACAUGUGAAUUAUGUGCUAUAUCGAUAAAAUCUGAACACUUAAUUGUACCAUUCUCUAAUAAUUUAGCUGUGGAGUUUGAUUUACUGAAAGCCACUAACAAGAUUGCACUAGAGGAUUUUACUUUAUAUAGUGGAUAUGCUUUUUUGUCCUUUAAAGCCACUUGUAGAUUGUUAAUUUCUAACACACAACAGGAUCUGAAACUGGGAAGUUUAACUGUUCUUCAGCAGGAGAUAUACGUAGCCCUCCAGUGAGCACCCAGGUGACAGGCCCUUCUGUCAGAAUUUCUGCUCGCCUCCGAGAUCAAACGCUCUGCACGUUUUCAGUCCGUGCAGGCAGCGUCUGCAGCACCCAGCGCUGCACCUGUACACGUCAUCAACAUAGCAGCAUGUUAUCACAGUCGUCCAUCGCUGAUACACGACUGUAGCUGACAAGUCUUUCACAGUGACAGCAGUUUCAGUUUUGUGUAACCCCCAAGUACGAACCCUCACCAACUAAAACCCCUUGAAAGUUCUGCAAGACAGGUUUGACUGCAGACGUCUGUACUGAUACCAGGAAUUGCACUGCAAACAUUCAAACGUAACCUGGAUUUGACACAGUGUCAGUUAUUUUUAAAUUCAUGUACCUUAAGCAAACAUUGCUGUUUUUAUAUCACUGCUUGGGCAGCACAAAAGCAGCUUCGCCAAACACAAUCUCCCAGAGCUGGAAGUUAAUUCAUUAAAUUUUCCCCUCCAUACCCCACUGGUUAUUCUGCCAGGAAUUUCUCGAAGGUGCGUGUUGUUGGGAAGGGCAGAACUAAAGCAAAUGCUAAAUGGAAGAAAGAAGCAAUAAAUUUUCAACACUGCUACAAUGACAGCGUAAGAGUCAGUUCUCGAUGAUUUUCUUUCCACUAUUCAACCUUUUUUAGUGCAGUUAAAGUACAGAAAAAAGAAAAAGAAAAAAAAAAGUCUGCUUUGGAAAAAAGCCAGUUUGUCCAGUCUGGUCCAUAUACAGUCCAAGUAUGUGAAGCUACAGUCUGGGGAAUGAAAGAGGCUCGUGCAGCCUCCCUGUCCUCUCAAAUUUAUUGCUAAUUACUAGAAAUUUAACCUAAUCAACCACUUCUGGUUAAGCUCAUUGUACUGCGGCUAUCCUAAGUUUCUUUUAAGUAUGGUAAAAAAAAGUCCACAGCUAAAAAUCUUACAGGUUUGAAUUAAAACCAGGAUUAUAGUAACUGCCCCCGGCUCAUGAAGCCACUACCUUGAAAAGUGUGCAAACAGGAUUAAGGAUUAACACUUUCCUUUAGAGAAGAAACAAACAAGGCAGGUAACAGAAGCAAGGUAGAGCUGUCUAUGGGAAAUGGCUUUCGUAUUUGGACAAGAUACGGUUCUGCAGUGUUAAAGAACUCCACACCUCCUCCGGCUGCAAAGUCCGUCAGGAUCUCUAUGAGCGGUUCUGAAACACUGGCUUAAAUCAAAAACAGAAGGAAAGAAAUGAAGGCAUUAAAAUUCAGGCAAUGUUUCAAGAGUUGAUCAUCUGGCAACACGGCUGACGGGAUGGGAACUUUCAAAAUUAAGUGCAGCAUCACAACCAGCGGAGGGCCCUUUGCGCGGGGCCCGCAUGUGUCAGUCAGUUUCCAAAAUU